rnacentral:rRNA from 1 species
UACGUAGGGUGCGAGCGUUAAUCGGAAUUACUGGGCGUAAAGCGUGCGCAGGCGGUGAUGUAAGACAGGUGUGAAAUCCCCGGGCUUAACCUGGGAACUGCAUUUGUGACUGCAUCGCUGGAGUGCGGCAGAGGGGGAUGGAAUUCCGCGUGUAGCAGUGAAAUGCGUAGAUAUGCGGAGGAACACCGAUGGCGAAGGCAAUCCCCUGGGCCUGCACUGACGCUAAUGCACGAAAGCGUGGGGAGCAAACAGG